rnacentral:rRNA from 1 species
AGUUCGAUCCUGGCUCAGAUUGAACGCUGGCGGGAUGCUUUACACAUGCAAGUCGAACGGCAGCACGGACUUCGGUCUGGUGGCGAGUGGCGAACGGGUGAGUAAUGUAUCGGAACGUGCCUAGUAGCGGGGAUAACUACGCGAAAGCGUAGCUAAUACCGCAUACGCCCUUCGGGGGAAAGCGGGGACCUUCGGGCCUCGCACUAUUAGAGCGGCCGAUAUCGGAUUAGCUAGUUGGUGGGGUAACGGCUCACCAAGGGCGACGAUCCGUAGCUGGUUUGAGAGGACGACCAGCCACACUGGGACUGACACGGCCCAGACUCCUACGGGAGGCAGCAGGGGAAUUUUGACAAUGGGGGAAACCCCUGCAGAUCCAGCCAUCCCGCGUGUGCGAUGAAGGCCUUCGGGUUGUAAAGCACUUUUGGCAGGAGAAACGGCACGGGAUAAUACCCCGUGCAACUGACGGUACCUGCAGAAUAAGCACCGGCUAACUACGCCAGCAGCCGCGGUAAUACGUAGGGUGCAAGCGUUAAUCGGAAUUACUGGGCGUAAAGCGUGCGCAGGCGGUUCGGAAAGAAAGAUGUGAAAUCCCAGAGCUUAACUUCUGAACUGCAUUUUUAACCACGAUGAGCAAGUCAGGAGAGGUGGGAAUCGGCGCGUAGCAGUGAAAUGCGUAGAUAUGGAGAACACCGAUGGCGAAGGCAGCCUCCUGGGAUAACACUGACGCUCAUGCACGAAAGCGUGGGGAGCAAACAGGAUUAGAUACCCUGGUAGUCCACGCCCUAAACGAUGUCAACUAGCUGUUGGGGCCUUCGGGCCUUGGUAGCGCAGCUAACGCGUGAAGUUGACCGCCUGGGGAGUACGGUCGCAAGAUUAAAACUCAAAGGAAUUGACGGGGACCCGCACAAGCGGUGGAUGAUGUGAUUAAUUCGAUGCAACGCGAAAAACCUUACCUACCCUUGACAUGUCUGGAAUCCCGAAGAGAUUUGGGAGUGCUCGCAAGAGAACCGGAACACAGGUGUUGCAUGGCUGUCGUCAGCUCGUGUCGUGAGAUGUUGGGUUAAGUCCCGCAACGAGCGCAACCCUUGUCAUUAGUUGCUACGAAAGGGCACUCUAUCGAGACUGCCGGUGACAAACCGGAGGAAGGUGGGGAUGAUGUCAAGUCCUCAUGGCCCUUAUGGGUAGGGCUUCACACGUCAUACAAUGGUCGGGACAGAGGGUCGCCAACCCGCGAGGGGGAGCCAAUCCCAGAAACCCGAUCGUAGUCCGGAUCGCAGUCUGCAACUCGACUGCGUGAAGUCGGAAUCGCUAGUAAUCGCGGAUCAGCAUGUCGCGGUGAAUACGUUCCCGGGUCUUGUACAUACCGCCUGUCACACCAUGGGAGUGCUUUACCAGAAGUAGUUAGCCUAACCGUAAGGAGGGCAUUACCACGGUAGGAUUCAUGACUGGGGUGAAGUCGUAACAAGGUAG